rnacentral:misc_RNA from 1 species
AAGUCGUAACAAGGUCUCCGUUGGUGAACCAGCGGAGGGAUCAUUACAGAGUUGCAAAACUCCCAAACCAUUGUGAACAAUACCCGAUACGUUGCUUCGGUGGGCGGUCCCAGGGCGGGACCAUUUUGCCUUCACGGGCGCCCACCGGAGGACCAUUCAAACUAUUUGUAUUUAGUGGCCUCUCUGAGAAAAACAUAUAAAUGAGUCAAAACUUUCAACAACGGAUCUCUUGGUUCUG